GGGAUGAUAGUCUAAUUGGUUAAGACACCAUUUUGUCAAGAUGGGGUAUGGGGGUUCGAGUCCCCUUCUUCUCG
rnacentral:tRNA from 2 species